UUCGCAAUGCCCGAAAGGGUGACGAAGCGACGUCGCGUGAGCGAAGAAGGCCUUAGGGUUGUAAAGCUCUGUCGAGGGUUAUGAAAUGUAGGUGGGUUAAUACCCCGCUUAUUUGACAAAGGCCCCAAAGGAAGUCACGGCUAACUCUGUGCCAGCAGCCGCGGUAAUACAGAGGUGGCAAGCGUUGUUCGGAAUUAUUGGGCGUAAAGAGCACGUAGGUGGGUUUGUAAGUCAGAUGUGAAAGCCUUCUGUUCAACGGAAGAAUUGCAUCUGAAACUGCAAGUCUUGAGUGUAGGAGGGGAGAAUGGAACUUCUGGUGGAGCGGUGAAAUGCGUAGAUAUCAGAAGGAACGUCAGCGGCGAAAGCGACUCUCUGGCCUAUUACUGACACUGAGGUGCGAAAGUUAGGGGAGCAAACGGGAUUAGAUACCCCGGUAGUCCUAACCGUAAACGAUGGGCACUAAGUAGAGGGGUUUU
rnacentral:rRNA from 2 species